AUUGCUUAGUGAAUGAAACAUACAACUUACUAUGUAUUCGGUUAUAAACUAACGUAUAUAUUUAUGUAGGUAAAAAGACACUUGACGAAUCUCAUCAUCAAGGGUUUAACAAUAACAGCAUACUGAUUUCAGUGUUAAGGUAAGAUUAAUAGUCUUUCCGUCGUUAUUGAUAUACAUUAACUUAAUCUUAAUUAACGAUAUUGCUGCAAUCGGAUUAAAUCCUCAGAUUUAAAACAAAUAGGUAAGUCAACGAAUUUUAUGAAGAUGUAUAUAGUAUAUACAUGAUAUAUGUGUUUAAUUAUUUUCUAUAGAAAUCAAUAAUCUAAAUUUACAUUUCAUUAACUAAGGAUCACUCAGAAUGUUACCCUACCCUUUUGAAUUAAAACAGUCUAUAUAUUAUAAGAAAAAGGUGGUCAACAUAAGUACCUAUUUUCUCAUCUCUAUUUCAUAUAUGAGAAAUUCCUUCGGUAGAUUUGAAUAUAUUUUUUAGAACAAAUUAACGGGAACAGUUGUAGGUAUUCAAUUGGACACCUUCUUUACACUUUAAAUGCUACACUUGUUCCCGCAUUGUUUUGGUCAAAUUUAAAUGAACUUUAAGUUUCAUUAAAUAUAGUUAAAACAGUUUGUUGCAUAACAUAAUUAGGAAUUUUCAAAGUAUAUUGCAGACAUUUUGCCUGGUUAUUUUAGUGCUAAAUGUGAACAAAUUCGCUAGCUAACACAUGCGUUAAAAUGUAUUGUUCAAAAAAUUUUAACGACAAUGUUAACUUACACUGCGUUAAGAGUCGUUAAUUUUUGUUUUAUGUUAAAUUGUAUCCCAUAAUAUACAGCAAUUCUCCACUUCUUGUUACCAAUAUGGCUGAUAUUUCUAAAAAAAAAAAAGGAAUUGCCAAGGAACAGAAAUACUUAUUCAUCCUCUGGAGAGGCAAGAAACAAAUAUGGAAAUAUGUGUCGUUAGGCAAAGGAGAAAUUCACUUACUCCAGACAAGAAAUGGACAAUACAGGAGGUGGACUACCACCUACACAGCUUAGCAUUGAUAAGGAAAAAUUUGUGAAUGCCUCAUUCAGCGAAGUUGGUGGCAUUGAAGCAGAUAUCCCUUGUAAUGAAGCAAAUCCUGUCACAAAUGGAAGCCAGUCUCCAUGCUGUCUGGAUUAGAGCUUUAGACAGUCAUCGCUCAAAUUUGCAGAACAAUCAGCAGACCUUCCCAGUAACAGAUGAUGCUGAAUGGAUUGAUAUAAAUGACGCUUGUCCAGUAAUCAGACACAUAUUGAAAGAUAAUCAAGUGCAUGCAGCAUACAUCCAACACUCAAGAAGAAGAAACAUCUGAUAAUGUGUAUUUGUUAUAAUGCGCAGUUCCUGAAAAAAAGAACUUAAGAAGAACAUACUGCAAAUAUAUUUCCUAAAACAAUUGCGUUGCAAGUAAGACAAUUUGGAUUAUGAUGCCCUAAAACCGAUAGAUGCCCUUAAACUACUAUCAGUUUUCGGGUAGUGAAUGUUAAAACAUGAGAAUAUGUUUUAGGGCAGUGAAUGUUAAAACAUGAGAAUAUAUUUUAGGGCAGUGAAUGUUAAAACAUGAGAAUAUGUUUUAGGGCAGUGAAUGUUAAAACAUGAGAAUAUAUUUUAGGGCAGUGAAUGUUAAAACAUGAGAAUAUG